AACACUGUUAACCUGCGGUACCUGCGGAAGGAUCAUUACCGAGUUUACAAACUCCCAACCCUAUGUGAACCUUACCAAUCGUUGCUUCGGCGGGCUUAGCCCCCGCGCCCUCGCCGGCGCCGGGAGAAAGGCGCCCGCCGGGGACCCCAAACCCAAUGUUUUUCAUGCAGUAUUUCUGAGUGGCAAACGCAAAAAUAAAUCAAAACUUUUAGCAACGGAUCUCAGAUCGGAAGAGCACAC
rnacentral:misc_RNA from 1 species